rnacentral:rRNA from 1 species
UACGAAGGGGGCUAGCGUUGCUCGGAAUCACUGGGCGUAAAGGGCGCGUAGGCGGCCUGAUCAGUCGGGGGUGAAAGCCUGUGGCUCAACCACAGAAUGGCCUUCGAUACUGUCGGGCUUGAGACCGGAAGAGGUAAGUGGAACUGCGAGUGUAGAGGUAAAAUUCGUAGAUAUUCGCAAGAACACCAGUGGCGAAGGCGGCUUACUGGUCCGGAUCUGACGCUGAGGCGCGAAAGCGUGGGGAGCAAACAGG